rnacentral:rRNA from 1 species
GAUGAACGCUGGCGGCGUGCCUAAUACAUGCAAGUCGAGCGAACAGAUGAGGAGCUUGCUCCUCUGACGUUAGCGGCGGACGGGUGAGUAACACGUGGAUAACCUACCUAUAAGACUGGGAUAACUUCGGGAAACCGGAGCUAAUACCGGAUAAUAUAUUGAACCGCAUGGUUCAAUAGUGAAAGACGGUUUUGCUGUCACUUAUAGAUAGAUCCGCGCCGCAUUAGCUAGUUGGUAAGGUAACGGCUUACCAAGGCAACGAUGCGUAGCCGACCUGAGAGGGUGAUCGGCCACACUGGAACUGAGACACGGUCCAGACUCCUACGGGAGGCAGCAGUAGGGAAUCUUCCGCAAAGGGCGAAAGCUUGACGGAGCAACGCCGCGUGAGUGAUGAAGGUCUUCGGAUCGUAAAACUCUGUUAUUAGGGAAGAACAAAUGUGUAAGUAACUAUGCACGUCUUGACGGUACCUAAUCAGAAAGCCACGGCUAACUACGUG